rnacentral:snRNA from 1 species
CUUUUGAAGAACAGGCAAUGACGCAGCUAGUGAGGUAAUAGCGAGGCGCGUCAACUGCUGGUUGAAAACUACUCCCUCCGUCUCAAAAUUGUUGGUUGAAAACUACAAUUUU